AAUGGGGGAAACCCUAACGCAGCAACGCCGCGUGAGUGAGGAAGGUCUUCGGAUUGUAAAGCUCUGUCCUUAGGGAAAAAUGGUCAUUAUAUAAAUAGUAUGGUGAUUUGAUGGUACCUGAGAAGAAAGCACCGGCUAACCUCGUGCCAGCAGCCGCGGUAAUACGAAGAGUGCAAGCGUUGUUCGGAUUUAUUGGGCGUAAAGGGCGUGUAGGCGGGUUAUUAAGUCAGGUGUGAAAUUUUGGGGCCUAACCCCAAACGUGCGCCUGAAACUGGUAAUCUAGAAUGUCGCAGGGGGAUAGGGAAUUUCGCAUGUAGGAGUAAUAUCCGUAGAUAUGCGAAGGAACACCUGGGGCGAAGGCGCUAUCCUGGUCGACUAUUGACGCUGAGGCGCGAAAGCGUGGGGAUCAAA
rnacentral:rRNA from 1 species